rnacentral:lncRNA from 10 species
GUCAGGGUGCUGCCUCCCUAUCCACUGGGAGUCCUUUUGCGUUUCAGAUGCUCCCAGGCUCUCCCGCAGUUUAAAGACUUAACUCAGCGGCUUUCAGGGCCUGUGGUUGAGGGACUCCGAAAGAACUGUUGCUGGUGGACCGGUUCAGGGUCUUGACUUCGCCACACAAAAGAACUUGAGAGCACGUCCAAAGUAAAGCUAAGACCUCUAGUACAGUGUUCAAUGGAACUGGUGAGAAAAGACGUCCUUGCUGUGUUCCUGAUAUGAAGAGGAAAGCAGUCCUUCUCCAUUAAAUGCUGACAACAUGAGCCUCCCGUGGUCGGAACGGGCUUGUGAAGGCGGUGCUGGGGUGCACCAGGGCAGCAGCUACAGGCUCUGGGACUAUGGAAAGGACAAAU